rnacentral:rRNA from 1 species
CUACGGGGGGCUGCAGCGAGGAAUUUUGCGCAAUGGGCGCAAGCCUGAUGCAGCCAUGCCGCGUGUAUGAAGAAGGCCUUCGGGUUGUAAAGUACUUUCAGCGGGGAGGAAGGGAGUAAAGUUAAUACCUUUGCUCAUUGACGUUACCCGCAGAAGAAGCACCGGCUAACUCCGUGCCAGCAGCCGCGGUAAUACGGAGGGUGCAAGCGUUAAUCGGAAUUACUGGGCGUAAAGCGCACGCAGGCGGUUUGUUAAGUCAGAUGUGAAAUCCCCGGGCUCAACCUGGGAACUGCAUCUGAUACUGGCAAGCUUGAGUCUCGUAGAGGGGGGUAGAAUUCCAGGUGUAGCGGUGAAAUGCGUAGAGAUCUGGAGGAAUACCGGUGGCGAAGGCGGCCCCCUGGACGAAGACUGACGCUCAGGUGCGAAAGCGUGGGGAGCAAACAGGAUUAGAUACCCCCGUAGUC